rnacentral:misc_RNA from 1 species
AACGCACCUUGCGCUCCUUGGUAUUCCGAGGAGCAUGCCUGUUUGAGUGUCAUUAAAUUCUCAACCCAUUUAGCUUUGUUGUUGAAUGGGCUUGGACUUGGAGUGUGCCGGCGUCAAGUCGGCUCCUCUUUAAAUGCAUUAGCAGAAGUUUGAAGCUUCGCGGACGGUGUGAUAAUUAUCUACGCCUUUCAAGCCGUGAGGUUUAAAGUUACUCUGCUUCGAACCGUCUUCGGACAACUUUCAUUUAAUUUUGACCUCAAAUCAGGUAGGACUACCCGCUGAACUUAA